rnacentral:sRNA from 1 species
ACUGGAAUCAAUUUGUCAGCCGAGCACAUUCUCAACACUCAAUAUUUUACCUACGUCGCCGGAGCACAAAUUGAUCAGAAUGGAAAUGUCAUUAUUGCAGACGCGAAGAAUCAUCAUUUCAAGGUAAAAAGGAUUGGAAAAAAGAAGGGAAAUUUGAAAAAAAAAAAUGGCCAAAAAAUAUUUUUAGAAAUUUUCAAAAAAAAAAAAAUUUUUUAAAUAAUUUUUUUUUUGGAAAUUUUCAAAAAAAAAUUUCUUAAAAAAAUAAUUUUUUUUUUUGAAACUGAAAUUUCUCUUGAAAAAAAAAAAGUCUUUUUACAGCUUUUCGAGCCGUCGUUGGGCUUCAUACACCGCGUUUCCACGGAUUUCCCUGUUCCAUACGUUUCCUCGUUUCAUUUCAAUCACCGCGGAGAGG